rnacentral:rRNA from 1 species
UGGUGGAGUGAUUUGUCUGGUUAAUUCCGAUAACGAACGAGACCUUAACCUGCUAAAUAGAUUUGCCUACCCCGGUAGGUAAAAUCUUCUUAGGGGGACUAACUACGUUUAGUAGUUGGAAGUUUGAGGCAAUAACA